GAUGUACGCUGGCGGCGUGCUUAACACAUGCAAGUCGAACGGAGAUAUCUUUGACAGAGACUUCGGUCAAAGUCGUUGGUAUCUUAGUGGCGGACGGGUGAGUAACGCGUGAGUAACCUGCCUUAUACUGGGGGAUAACAGUCAGAAAUGACUGCUAAUACCGCAUAAGCGCACAGUGCCGCAUGGCACAGUGUGAAAAACUCCGGUGGUAUAGGAUGGACCCGCGUUGGAUUAGCUAGUUGGCAGGGUAGCGGCCUACCAAGGCGACGAUCCAUAGCCGGCCUGAGAGGGUGAACGGCCACAUUGGGACUGAGACACGGCCCAGACUCCUACGGGAGGCAGCAGUGGGGAAUAUUGCACAAUGGGGAAACCCUGAUGCAGCGACGCCGCGUGAAAGGAAGAAGUAUCUCGGUAUGUAAACUUACUAUCAGCAGGGAAGAAAAUAGACGGUACCUGACUAAAGAAAGACCCCGGCUAACUACGUGCCAGCAGCCGC
rnacentral:rRNA from 1 species